rnacentral:lncRNA from 10 species
CAAACUCUCCAGGGAAUGUUCAGGGCACAUUUCUGACCUUUUGAAUUGAGGUCGCAGAAUGAAAAUGCCAUUGUUUGUCACAAAAUGUCCUUUGUCAUUGCUGUAAAUGCCUGGGGAAUCAAAGAUCUAAAUCAGAGGGUGCUUUCUUACGCUCUGUGAUUCUGUGCAAGAGGCCUUCAGCAGGGCUGGACUUCCCUCCCAGAAGGGGAGUUUGGUGCUCAGUGGAUCCUGUCAGGUGAGAAGCCGAGACCCAGCAGAUGUGUGUGCGCACAGCGGAACCAGGUACAAGAGGAUCUGAAGCUGGACUUACCUGGAGUCCUGGAACAUGGUGAUCCCAUCUCCACUGGACCUGAGUCAGAAGCCUGCUCUAGAGGAAGCAGGAAGUACAUCUGGUUUUGGUUGGAGACGUUGCAUCCAUUCUAAUAAAGCCAAGAGUCAAACUGAAAUACUGGCUCAGGCUGAGAGGAUAUUCUGCCGUUGUAGUUUUGCUCGGGGCCAUUCGUUUUAAGAAGACUGGAGAGUCAGUUCCAGUUUGUCUUGGGGGACUAAGUUCUUAUCAUGUGGUUUCUACUGGUGGCUUAUUGAGAACACAUGCAGGUGACUCUACCACUGACUCCUACCUGGGAAGGGCACGAUGGCCCCGGAAUAGUAUGGGCAUUGGCUUCCUUCCACCUGGAGCUGCCUGCCAGGCGGCCUCCUUCCUCUGCUGGAGAUCUCUGAGCGGCUGGGCUCCCGCUUCCCCCAGGGCCUGCAGUCCCUGGCCUCCUGCAGUUACCCUGGAAGGGCCUGGCACCCUGCCCAGGGCAGAGCUGGGUUUGGAGAUGUGAUGUGUCUCUGGGGGAAGCUGGCUGAGCCCCACCAGUCUCAUUUCAAGUCAGGAACCACCACGGGUCUCCCACAUGAAGCCACAACAUCCACCGAGCCUCCACUUCGAAGACUUCACCCUGCUGCUGCUGGGUGGGUCAACGCUGGGAUGCAGAUGCCAUUUUAUGGCAAAGCUGUCUGUGAAACCAAAUGACAUUGUCCUCAAAGGAACCAAACCUGCCUCUCUUUCAGGCAGAUGACAACCAGAAAAUCAUUAGCAGGCCUAGGAUGUGAGGGAGGAGGAGAAGCCAGUGUCGUCCUUGACUGGAGCGUUGAGAAGCAGCGGUGUGGUAGAUGGGCUACUCCUACCCGAGAGUUGAGACGCAGGGGUGUGGUAGACGGGGCUGUUCCUACAGGCCCGAGGGGGCCACUAUCUGCACCUCUUCCCAACUCCACGUUCAGGGCAGGCAUGGUGGUGGCAUGAAAUCUGCCAAGCUGUGAGUAUUUACGCCAUGGGAAUUGGCAUACGCCAUAAACCAUGGCUUGCUUUUUCAGAGAGCUGACUGUGACACAAUGGAUACCAGUCAUGUUGUGGUUUAUCCUCACUGCCUCAUUCUGUCCUUCCAACCAUCCUAUUAGGCUGGCUCUGUUGUUACAGUUGAAGAAACCCAUGCUCGGAGAGGUCACAGGGCUUUCCAGAGGACCCCCAGCUUGGAGAGGGCAUGGCCAGGGCUGGAUUUGAACCCAAACCUGGAGUGCAUUACCACCCUAUUCUAUGCAGUCUCCAGGUCCUCGUUUGCAAAAUGCAAUGUGAGCUGACCUCACAGGGAUGUUGGGAGAAUCUGGAUAAUGGUUUUGGAGAAGAGGGAGCCCAGCCAGGGGUCCUUCCAGGAGGUUUAUUAUUUCUCUCUUCUCUACGGCCCUUACCUUCUAAACAUUUAGUCAAAUAUGCCUUCUCACUUCAAAGCAAAAAGCCUGUGAUCAGCAGUGAUGGCAGGAAACUAAAGAAAAAUCUGCCUCUCCUUUGGCUGGUGAGAGAUGCUUUGCUUCUUCGGGGCCUCGCCAUGGCCCUGCGCAUCUGCUUCCCUCCUCCCUCUGCCACCCCUGGCAGAUAGAAAAUUCUGCAGUGAUGGAAACACUCCAGGUCUGUGCUGUCCAAUAUGCAGCCACCCGUACACAGGGCUCUUGCGCACAUGAAAGGUGGCUGGUGUGAGUGAGGAACUGGAUUGUAAGUGUAAUUUAAUUUUAAUUAAUUAAAAUUCAGUUAUCAUGGCCAUGCGUGACUAGUUGCCACUGUCUUAGACAGAGCGACUUCAGAGUUCCGCCCCCUCCACCUUCUGGCUCAAUGCCUAGCUCUGCUUCUCCUGUCCAGCCUGGGAGUCGCCCUCUCCAUCCUCUCCACAUCAGCCUUAGUAUUUCAGGCCCUUCUGGAGGUAGCUUUGUCUCCAGAGCCCUCAGGGGCAGGGGCAGCCUGGGACAGUGCAGGCUCUAGUGAGCUCUGUAGCUGAGAAGGGGACCCCCUUUCCUGAGCGGCCUUUGGGAGUGGGGAGCCUGAGAGCAAAGGGUGUCAGGAACACACCCCAGCCUUGUGAGCUGGGACCUGCAGGGUGAGCCCAGGCCCCUGAGCUUUUAAAAGCUCCCGGGUGUUCCUGGUGCAGUGUUUCAGGCUGCAGACUUCAGGCACAUUCUUAUUUUCUUGGGCCACCCCCUCCUCCCACUUUCCCUCAUCCUGGGUCUGAAGCCUCCUCCUCUUUCUCCCCUAAGGAACUCUGUCUUCAUCUCUUUCUUUCUUUAUAUCUGUCCGGGAGCUCCUUGGCCUGGCCCACCUCCUCUGAUGGGCUCUUUCCAGCUUGAUGGCUCCUUUGAGUACCUGCCGUUCCUACCUCCUGUGGGACAUUUCCACCUGCAGGAAAUGCCAACCACACAGACUUAAAAAUCCCCGGACCGAAGUCCUCAUUUCCCCUCCUUUUUCCUCCUCUUAUCUUCUCUGCUUGUGUUAGCAGGGCCAAAUCUUCCGCGGGUCACUGAGGCUCCCAUCUUUAAAGUCAUUGCCAACUUCUCCUUCUCUCUCAACCUGACUGGAUGUUACAAAUUCCUGUGUCAUUUCCAUUCUAUUUCUUGCUUUCAAUCUUUUCUUUCACUUUCAGCAUCUCUGUUCAGACCCUUGUCUCUUCCUGGAUCUAUCUUCUGUAAACUCCAAAGCAGCCCUCACAACUCCUCAUGAUCUUCAAAACAAAGCUUUGAAAAUGAUUGGGCCCUCUGCUCAAGCCCCUCACUGCUGUCAGGAUGAGGUUUGAGUCCUUAGCAGUGCUGUCAGGAUGAGGUUUGAGUCCUUAGCAGUGCUGUCAGGAUGAGGUGUGAGUCAUUAGCAGUACAUUCAGUGCCUGCUAUUACCUUGCCCUACUUCUGUCUUUCCCCGGGACUGACUUCAUGCUCCAGCCCUGAGUGAGUAUCUCAUGGGCCAUCUGUGCACCUGGUUGGAGCUUGUGCAUCUGCAGCGUUCUGUGGUGAAGCAGUCUGAUGUUGAUGGGGAUCAUGAGGCUGUCCCUGGGAUCACUGUGAAAGCGUGCUGCAAUUGAUUAGCAAUGUCUGCUGCUGGUGAGGGUGGGGAGAGUGUGGCACAGGUACCAUGUAUUUACCAACCUGUUUUCCAACAGAUGGGGUUUUUCUCUAUAGCCUGCCCCAAAUCACUUUACACUUUCUGAUACUUGGACUUUUCCUCCAUUCCUGUCCCUUUCUCGGUAUGUUUGAAUUCUAGCAACUCUCUAAGGGCCUGCCUGAGUACUACCUUCUUUGUGAAGUAUUCCUUGUGUGCAGCUGAUGUUGAAGACAGAAAAAUGUAUAUAGAUAAUUCAGCCAGAGACCAAGGGGCAGCCCCUGGUGGAGUGUUAAGCCAGAUGUUCCCAAGCACAGGCAUGGCCAGCCGCAGCCACAUCAUGGGUCAGAGUCCUGGGCCCCAGCUUGGACUCUCCUGUGAUGGGGUCAGAGAUUGGCAUUUUUAACAAGCUCCCAGGUGAUUCUUAGGCAUUACUUGGUGAGAGAACUCCUGUUAGAAUGCCUAAGAGUAAAAUUCUGCCACGCUGUCCCAGAGCUGAGACCUCAGUCGCUGCUUCUCAAACCAUUACAUUUAAUGGCAAAAACUGCAAUCGCUUUUGCCCCAACCUGCAGGGCAGGACCAGUUGUUAAAAAUUCCUUGAUCUAAUGUGAACCAAAAUUGCAAUUAAAAUGUUAGUGGGCAUUUCCCCAUUUUUGUCAUGAUAUAGAUGGAUACUGAAUUUCUUAUCUUUGAAUCAUUUAUUGCUCAGAACUCAAGUAAGCAUGCCAGCACUUCCUAUGUUCGUGCUGGAGGGGAAAUGUUUUACUUUUUACUGGAGAAGACAAGACAGGGUGAUUUUCAUGCUAUUGUUUUAUACACAUGACAACAACAUAUCUUGCCUUAUGUAAAGGCAAGUUCAUAUUUGUAGAUAAUUUAUCUUUUCUUCCUCCACUAAACAUAUGCAGUAAUCACUCAACUGGAAGGUGAGUAUUUAUUUUGUUUUUAAGGAGAGCCACUUUCUAACUGAAGAUGAUUGAUACAGGGAAAAGUUUGUACUACAAUAUAUACCUCAUAUAUUUGACUGCAGGUUAUAAAAUUUUUUAAAAUGGGCUGGGUGCGUUGGCUCAUGCCUGUAAUCCCAGCACUUUGGGAGGCCAAGGUGGGUGGAUCACCUAAGGUCAGGAGUUCAAGAUCGGCCUGGCCAACAUGAUGAAACGCUGUGUCUACUAAAAAUACAAAAAAUGAGCUGGACACGGUGGCAGGUGCCUGUAAUCCCAGCUACUGGGGAGGCUGAGGCAGGAUAAUUGCUUGAAACUGGGAGGUGGAGGUUGCAAUGAGCCAAGAUUGUGCCACUGCACUUCAGCCUGGACAACAAGAGUGACACUUUGUCUCAAAAAAUAUUUUUUAAAAUCUCUAAUUAAUAUAUUUGGAACUGAUUCAUAAGAAAGACUAUGCAAACUGUCCUGAAAAUGAAAAAAAGUUUGAAUCCAUUGCACACUGCUACUUUUAUAAAAUAAUGUAAAAAUGAAUUACUGGAAAAAUACAAUAAAGAUAUAAAAAUAUAAGCCCAACUUUAGACCUCAAAGUACUCUGUUGAAUUGCUGUAA